rnacentral:tRNA from 1 species
GCCGAAGUGGCGAAACGGCAGACGCAGUUGACUCAAACUCAACCGGUGGCAACACCGUGUCGGUUCAAAUCCGACCUUCGGCACCA